GGGAGGUAUUUUUAGGUAGGCUCAGGUGCAGACAGAGACAUUACGCCACGGCCCAACAGGUGGUUAAUAUUUAAUCCCUUCCUUAAUCAUUAACUCCGUGGCUGGCUGGAGAGGAACAGGACUGUUGUCAAAUCAGUAACCACAGGCUGGGAACAAUGUCCGCUGAGCUCGCGGCCCCUCCUGCAGCUGGGAGUGCUGGCUGGGUUGGGUUGUCCCUGGCCAUGGAGGCCCUGGUUCAUCUCCUUCCAGCAGUGACCUCAGGACACAGAGAAGUUACAGGAGGUCAGGAAGAACCCCCUCCAAGCUGGGGAUUGCCCUCUGACUCCAGGCACUUACUGAACUACCCAAGGAAAAGAAGACAAGCACCCCCGUUAUACAGAAGAGGAAACUGAAGCUCAUGAAGAUUUGUGAAUAGACUGGAGUUGAUUCCUUGAAAACCAAACAAGGCCAGAAUAAUCAGAUCCUGUCGGGACAAAGGUCUCCCACUGCCCACCCUGGAUGAACGGCCUGGCUCAGCCUGGGGAAUGACAGCAGGGGCUGGUUUAGAAGAAUUUCUUCAACAUUCUCAGAUGCUGAAACUUCAGUCCCACCUGGGGCAAGUCUUGAGUACCUAGGGAUACAAAGAGGCUAAAAUUCACCUCGUUUUCCCACCAAGAUUCUACAGCAAGCACAGCACUUAGAGAAGGACGGCAAUCUGUAGAGGCAGAUGGUGUGUUUAGAAUUCCAUGGGUUUGAGCGUCAUCAACAGGAGGCAGCCUGGUGGUGUCUUUUGGAGCUAACUUCUGUGAAGGAUCAAAAAGUAAAAAUUUUAGGCUGUUCUCCAUCACAAGUCUGCCAUUGUAGUGUGAAAAUAACUGUCGACAACGUCUAAACAAAUGGGUGUUCCUGAGCUCCAAUGAAAUUUUAUUAAUGGACACUGAAAUGUUAAUUUCAUGUGCCAAAAUGUUAUUCUUCUUUGGAUUUUUUUUCCCCCUAAUCAUGUAAAAAUCAUUCUUAGCUCUUAAUUUGCACAAAAGGAGACAGUGGGCAGAGUGUGGCCUUCAGGGUCAUAGUUUGCUGGCUCCUGGUUUAGAGCAAAGGUUUUGAGGUCAGUCAUCAGUCUUGGAUUCAAGUCCUGGUUAUUUCACUAACCGACUGUGUAACUUGGGAAAAGUCACUGAACCUCGCUGAGCAUGCUUCCUCCCUGUCAAAGGGAGAUGGCGGAGCCUGUCUUUCAGGGAGAGCACCUACUGACCUCAAUGACUGACAUGUGGCAGGCACACCCUCAAUGUGAGCGAUGAACACUGCAGCAGACUGGUUGGAGGUCAGUGGCAGGGGGCUCUGCGGUUGGAGAGCGCAGGGGGCCCUUCUGGGAGGGAGGAGGUUUGGGGUAAACUGGGCUGGAAAUGAUUUGAGAGGUGUGGUGACAGCGGAGGGGAUGGUUGAGAGGUCAAGCCAAAGAAACUGACUUCAACAUUAUUAAAAAGUCUACAAAUAACAAAUGCUGGAGAGGGUGUGGAGAAUAAGGAACCCUCCCAAACUGUUGGGAACAUAAACUGGUGGUAGACAUUAUGGAGGACAGUAUAGAGGUUCCUUAAAAAACUCAAAAUAGAGUUGCCACGUGAUUCAGCAGUCCUACUCCUGGGUAUAUAUUCAGAGAAAAGUAAAAGUUUAAGAUAAUGCACCCCCAAUGUUCAUAGCAGCACUAUUCACAAUACCGAAGACUUGGAAGCAAUCUGAAUGUCCACUGACAGAGAAAUGGCUAAAGAAGAUGUGGUAUAUAUACACAAUGGAAUACUACUCAGCUGUUAAAAAUGAAAUAAUGCUAUUUGCAGCAACAUGGAUGGACCUAGAGAUUAUCAUAUUAAGUGAAGUGAGUCAGAAGGAGAAAGGCAUAUACCAUGUGAUAUCACUUAUAUGUAGAAUCUAAAAUAUGAACUUAUUUGCAGAACAGACUCACAGACAUAGAAAACCGACUUACGGACCAAGGAGGAAAGAGGGUGGGGAAGAAUAAGCUAGGAGUUUGGGAUUAGCAGAUACAAACUUCUAUAUAUAAAAUAGAUAAACAAAGCCCUACUGUAUAGCACAGGGAACUAUAUUGAAUAUCCUGUAGUAAAUCAUAAUGAAAAAGAAUAUGUAAAAAAGAAAAAAAAAAGGAAUUGGCUUCAAUCCUAGGGUCUGGGAUGGCCACUGAAGGCCCUGGAAAGGGAAUCCUUCAAAAUAGGGUCAAGGGACUUCCCUGGUGGCUAAGACGCUGAGCUCAGGAGUGGGCCUGGGUUUGAUCCCUGGUCAGGGAACUAGAUCCCACAUGCUGUAACUAAGACCUGGCGCAGCCAAAUAAAUAAAUAUUAGAAGAAAAAAAAAAGUGGGGCCAAGGGGAGGCCCAUCUGCAGGGAUUGCUCUGGCCUAGGGCAGGGGGUGGUGUGUGUGUGGGGUGGGGGAAGGGUAAAGAAAGGAGGAAGCCUGUAAGGGAAACACCAGGGACGUGUGAUAAGGUUACUACUGAGUCCAGGUGAGUGGGAGCUGUGGGGUGGAGGGGAGGGGGUUAUUAAGGGAGUGUCAAGGAUCAAUUGGUGGUAACAUAGCCAGGUGUUGUGUUUCAUUUUUAGUUACCUGCGGGUACUAAUUAGCCCCCUUUCUUGACUGCAAGCUCAUCUCCAGGUUAAUAAUUUGGACUGCCUUUUGUUUUUGCUGACCUGGCAGUCUUCCUUCCCCUCCCCCACCCCACCCCCACGUGACAUUGUAGAUGCCAGUCCCUUUGUUCCUCCACCCUGAGCCACUGAGCAGGGGAGGAGGAGGUACCCGAACAACGUGGAACCGUGGCGAGUCCUUCCCUGAGAUUCUGUUCCUUUGGGAUCAGAAUAUAAGUCCCCCUCUGGUGGAGGGAGCAUCGGGACAUGAAAUGCAGACGGGGUCAGCAGCUGCACGCCCCUUCACAGGAAAGACGCUGAACCCAACAGGAAGCAGAGCGAGAGGAGAGGCAAGGUCCUUGGAGGGACUCGGUUCUGCCCUUUGUGCCGUGGCUUUAGUGAUUCAGUUCUUCCCCUGAUUGUAGGAGAUAUCCUGAAUCCUUUGAAGAAACUCUUUUUCUGAAACUAGUUUGAGAUUCUAUCACUUGCAAAUGAAGGGAAUUACCAACCAAAUCCAUCCUCGAAGCUUUCCUACUCAGAGUUUGUUGUGCUUCUGUGUGCAGGCGCCUGGUAAAGUGCCUUAUAUCCAUUACUUAAUAUAAUCCUCAGUUAUGCUGUGAGCCAUUGGGUAUUAUUACCUCCACUUUAGAGAUGAUAAAACUGGGGCUCCUCCGUUUCACUUGACAUUUAAAUGGGGUGCACCUCAGGUCUUUGGCCUGGUCCUCUGACUGUCAUAGAUUACUCUCUCCCAGGCAGUCUUAUCCAUUCCUAUGCUGAUUCCAUUUCUACAAUUUCCAAUUCUCAAUCUAGACCUCUCUUUUAAACUCAAGUCUGAAAUAUCCAGCUUCUACUUGAUAUAGGUAUUUCAAACAAAGAUCUCUAAAACUAGACUUCUGUUAUCCCCCCUGCCAUGCAAUCUGCCCCUGCUCUGGGGCUUCUUUUCUCAGUAACUAGUCCUACCCUUCGCCGAGUUUCCCAGGUCAGACCCUGAGCAUUAUACUCGACAGCAUCUCCUUUGACCUUCAUAGUCACCCUAUUACCAAUCCCUAUUGUACCCACUCCCUAAGCAUGUCGUGACUCUGCCCACAUCUCUGUUAGCCCAACCACAACCCCCUCUCCCUUGAAAGAUAGUCUGCUCCUUGGUCUCUCUGAUUCCAUUCCAAGCCAUUAUCCAUUGACCUGCUGGACACAUUUUUGAAAGCACUCUAACUGUAUCCCCCACUCCUUAAAACUACCCAAUGGUUCUAGUCCAAAGUCUUUUCCAAGGUCUAUGUGGUCCCACCAGAUCUAGAUCUUUCUAUUCUUCAACCUCAUCUUGAACCUCUCUUUGGCUCAUUCACUAUAGGCUCCCUUCAGUAGGAGAACCAAAGUCUUCUGAUCUCAGGGCCUUUGCACUUGUUAUUUCUGCCAUCUGUACAGUGUUCUUUCCCUCUUCCUUCCCAGCUCUUAUUUUUCAUUCCUCAAUAUCCUCCAGGUCCUGGCUCAAGCCUCAGAAAUACAGUCUCUUGAGCCCUCCAUGAAAUACCAUUCCACAGCACCUACACUCUCUGUCAGUCAGUCAGUGAAGUUGCUUAGUCAUGUCCGACUCUUUGCAAUCCAAGGGACUGUAGCCCACCAGGCUCCUCCGUCCAUGGAAUUUUCCAGGCAAGAGUACUGGAGUGGGUUGCCAUUUCCUUCUCCAGGGGAUCUUCCUGACCCGGGGAUCAAACCCAGGUCUCCUGCACUGCAGGCAGAUGCCUUACCAUCUGAGCUACCAGGGAAGCUCUCUGUAGCACUCCAUAAUUAUGUUACUGUAUA